rnacentral:rRNA from 1 species
UACGUAGGGUGCAAGCGUUGUCCGGAAUUAUUGGGCGUAAAGAGUUCGUAGGCGGUUUGUCGCGUCGAAUGUGAAAACCCGGGGCUCAACCCCGGGCCUGCAUUCGAUACGGGCAGACUAGAGUUCGGUAGGGGAGUCUGGAAUUCCUGGUGUAGCGGUGAAAUGCGCAGAUAUCAGGAGGAACACCGGUGGCGAAGGCGGGACUCUGGGCCGAUACUGACGCUGAGGAGCGAAAGCGUGGGGAGCAAACAGG